GUCGAGCGGACAGAUGGGAGCUUGCUCCCUGAUGUUAGCGGCGGACGGGUGAGUAACACGUGGGUAACCUGCCUGUAAGACUGGGAUAACUCCGGGAAACCGGGGCUAAUACCGGAUGGUUGUUUGAACCGCAUGGUUCAGACAUAAAAGGUGGCUUCGGCUACCACUUACAGAUGGACCCGCGGCGCAUUAGCUAGUUGGUGAGGUAACGGCUCACCAAGGCAACGAUGCGUAGCCGACCUGAGAGGGUGAUCGGCCACACUGGGACUGAGACACGGCCCAGACUCCUACGGGAGGCAGCAGUAGGGAAUCUUCCGCAAUGGACGAAAGUCUGACGGAGCAACGCCGCGUGAGUGAUGAAGGUUUUCGGAUCGUAAAGCUCUGUUGUUAGGGAAGAACAAGUGCCGUUCAAAUAGGGCGGCACCUUGACGGUACCUAACCAGAAAGCCACGGCUAACUACGUGCCAGCAGCCGCGGUAAUACGUAGGUGGCAAGCGUUGUCCGGAAUUAUUGGGCGUAAAGGGCUCGCAGGCGGUUUCUUAAGUCUGAUGUGAAAGCCCCCGGCUCAACCGGGGAGGGUCAUUGGAAACUGGGGAACUUGAGUGCAGAA
rnacentral:rRNA from 1 species